rnacentral:misc_RNA from 1 species
CCGAGUGCGGGUUCCAACGAGCCCAACCUCCCACCCGUGUCUACCGUUACCGCGUUGCCUCGGCGGGCCCACUGGGGCCUGGCCCCGGUCGCCGGGGGGCUUCUGCCCCCGGGCCCGCGCCCGCCGAAGCACCCUAGAACCCUGUCUGAACAGUGAGUCUGAGUAGGAUAUUGAAUCAUUA